rnacentral:tRNA from 1 species
GCCGCGGUGUCGGAAUUGGUAGACGAACGGGACUCAAAAUCCCGCGAUGGCAACAUCAUGAGAGUUCGAUUCUCUCCCGCGGCA